rnacentral:tRNA from 1 species
GCCUUCGUGGUGUAACGGUAAUACACUUGGCUCGUAUUCGAGAGGUUCAGGUUUGAAUACUGGCAAGGGCA